rnacentral:tRNA from 1 species
GCGGGCGUGGCGAAACUGGCAGACGCGCCAGAUUUAGGUUCUGGUGGGGCAACCCGUGGAGGUUCGAGUCCUCCCGCCCGCA